rnacentral:rRNA from 1 species
AUACGUAGGGUGCAAGCGUUAAUCGGAAUUACUGGGCGUAAAGCGUGCGCAGGCGGUUUUGUAAGACAGAGGGGAAAUCCCCGGGCUCAACCUGGGGACUGCCUUUGUGACUGCAAGGCUAGAGGACGGCAGAGGGGGAUGGAAUUCCGCGUGUAGCAGUAAAAUGCGUAGAUAUGCGGAGGAACACCGAUGGCGAAGGCAAUCCCCUGGGCCUGUACUGACGCUCAUGCACGAAAGCGUGGGGAGCAAACAGGAUUAGAUACCCUGGUAGUCCACGCCCUAAACGAUGUCAACUGGUUGUUGGGUCUUCAUUGACUCAGUAACGAAGCUAACGCGUGAAGUUGACCGCCUGGGGAGUACGGCCGCAAGGUUGAAACUCAAAUGAAUUGACGGGG